UCUGGGACAAGCCCUGGAAACGGGGUCUAAUACCGGAUAACACUCUCCGAGGCAUCUGGGGGGGUUGAAAGCUCCGGCGGUGAAGGAUGAGCCCGCGGCCUAUCAGCUUGUUGGUGAGGUAGAAGCUCACCAAGGCGACGACGGGUAGCCGGCCUGAGAGGGCGACCGGCCACACUGGGACUGAGACACGGCCCAGACUCCUACGGGAGGCAGCAGUGGGGAAUAUUGCACAAUGGGCGAAAGCCUGAUGCAGCGACGCCGCGUGAGGGAUGACGGCCUUCGGGUUGUAAACCUCUUUCAGCAGGGAAGAAGCGAAAGUGACGGUACCUGCAGAAGAAGCGCCGGCUAACUACGUGCCAGCAGCCGCGGUAAUACGUAGGGCGCAAGCGUUGUCCGGAAUUAUUGGGCGUAAAGAGCUCGUAGGCGGUCUGUCACGUCGGAUGUGAAAGCCCGGGGCUUAACCCCGGGUCUGCAUUCGAUACGGGCAGACUAGAGUGUGGUAGGGGAGAUCGGAAUUCCUGGUGUAGCGGUGAAAUGCGCAGAUAUCAGGAGGAACACCGGUGGCGAAGGCGGAUCUCUGGGCCAUUACUGACGCUGAGGAGCGAAAGCGUGGGGAGCGAACAGGAUUAGAUACCCUGGUAGUCCACGCCGUAAACGGUGGGAACUAGGUGUUGGCGACAUUCCACGUCGUCGGUGCCGCAGCUAACGCAUUAAGUUCCCCGCCUGG
rnacentral:rRNA from 1 species